CCUACGUGAGGCAGCAGUGAGGAAUAUUGGUCAAUGGGCGCGAGCCUGAACCAGCCAAGUAGCGUGAAGGAUGACUGCCCUACGGGUUGUAAACUUCUUUUAUAAAGGAAUAAAGUGAGGCACGUGUGCCUUUUUGUAUGUACUUUAUGAAUAAGGAUCGGCUAACUCCGUGCCAGCAGCCGCGGUAAUACGGAGGAUCCGAGCGUUAUCCGGAUUUAUUGGGUUUAAGGGGAGCGUAGAUGGGUUGUUCAGUCAGUUGUGAAAGUUUGCGGCUCAACCGUAAAAUUGCAAGUGAUACUGGCAGUCUUGAGUACAGUUGAGGUAGGCGGAAUUCGUGGUGUAGCGGUGAAAUGCUUAGAUAUCACGAAGAACUCCGAUUGCGAAGGCAGCUUACUAAACUGCCACUGACAUUGAUGCUCGAAAGUGUGGGUAUCAAACAGGAUUAGAUACCCGGGUAGUC
rnacentral:rRNA from 1 species